rnacentral:rRNA from 1 species
AUUGAACGCUGGCGGCAUGCCUUACACAUGCAAGUCGAACGGUAACAGGUCUUCGGAUGCUGACGAGUGGCGAACGGGUGAGUAAUACAUCGGAACGUGCCCGAUCGUGGGGGAUAACGGAGCGAAAGCUUUGCUAAUACCGCAUACGAUCUACGGAUGAAAGCAGGGGACCGCAAGGCCUUGCGCGGACGGAGCGGCCGAUGGCAGAUUAGGUAGUUGGUGGGAUAAAAGCUUACCAAGCCGACGAUCUGUAGCUGGUCUGAGAGGACGACCAGCCACACUGGGACUGAGACACGGCCCAGACUCCUACGGGAGGCAGCAGUGGGGAAUUUUGGACAAGGGGCGAAAGCCUGAUCCAGCCAUGCCGCGUGCAGGAUGAAGGCCUUCGGGUUGUAAACUGCUUUUGUACGGAACGAAAAGACUCUUUCUAAUAAAGAGGGUCCAUGACGGUACCGUAAGAAUAAGCACCGGCUAACUACGU